AAAAAUAACACAACCUGAACUAACAUAAAAGAAUAGCAUAGGUAUAUACAGUAUAUAUUAUGCUAUUCUUUUAGGUUAAUAUUAAAGACUUGAACACCCCAAUGUGACUUGUCUGGUCGAACAUUUGCCCGAGUGAGCUGUGAGGGGAAGGGUGUGACAGACUGACUGUUAUGUGGUGAUUAAAUUUUUUGGUAUUUUUAUACUAAGUAAUUUAUACACAAGCUUAUGUCGCUACUGUCCUCUGUGGAUAUCAAGCUUCCGUAGUCUUCCUUCACCAACACAAGAGAGGACAGGUGCUGCCACGGGUGGCCGCAGGAUUUUUCCAGGGGGAUGCAAGAAAGCAAGACAAGACCUGACAUAUCAGUUUAAUCAAAACAGAUGCAGUGGUUCAUUAUCCAAGAUGGUGGACAAGACCAUCCUGAUGAUUAUAAUGGGGAGAACUAUGUGGGGCUGGAUAUUGGACAAAUGGCAUACCCUGGUAAAAGCAAAUAGCAAAGACAACAGAGAGCAGCAGUGACCCUUGUACUGCUGUCACAAUCACCGCUCAGCGUCCUGAAGAGAAUGUGGUGCUGGGAGACCCACCAAGAACCUUCUUGCAUGCUUCAGUAGGGUCUUCAGUGGUACUGGCCUUGAAUAUAAAAUAUUGUGUGACUGUCUGAGGAGAAUGGCUGUUUGGCUCAGGUGGACUGCUGGCUGGCUCUGGUGAAUGGUUGACUAGCUGAGGCGAACGUCUGGCAGGUCAAGAACCCCACCAAACAGAUACAUUGUGAUGGAGGUAUCAUCACGCUUUCACAAUCUCAAGUAUUUCCCAAUUCAACGUCUAUAAUGGACUCCACUUAAGGCAAAACAGACUUCCAUUCAACAUUUGGUGUGCAGUGUCCAGAUUGUCAACAUUCCAUAUCCAUACACUUGAGCACACUCCUAUAACAAAUUACGCGGUGAGCAGCAGUCUUCUCACAGGCAUCAUCCACAACAUUCCUUCACAGUACAUGCCAUUUUACUCAGAUAAAUUUAUAAAAUUCACUAUUAACCAUUGUAUGAGCACACCACUACCGCCCGUGCACGAGUACCCUCCACUGCCCAACGUACGAGCGUCCCUCCACUGCCCAAUGUACGAGCGUCCCUCCACUGCCCAACGUACGAGCGUCCCUCCACUGCCCAACGUACGAGCGUCCCAACCCUUCUCACAAAGCAAGUCACUCUUUUUCAUUCUUACAUUGUGGGUUUUAGGAUAGCUAUACAAAGACACAGGUAACUUAAGGUAACUUAACUGGGGAGGCUGAAUUAACAUGUGUUACAUCUUGCUCAAGGUUGGCUCCGUCACUUCCUCUAUGUUGGCCUUUAAGUAAAUCAUCUGUCACCUGCAAUAUUUUUCGAGUUAUUUCUGUAAAAUGAAGGUUAAACCUACAAUAUCCUUCUACCACUAGACCUCCUGUACUUUGACUCCAACUGUACACAAUUUAUCAAAUUUUAAUAAUU